GUUAUAGUCAUGGACAUUGAUACCUUCUAUGUACUCAUAAAGAUGAAGCAAGGACAGCACAAGUAGCAGCAGCAAGCCCACUUUCUCCACACUGAUGUGCCUCAACAAUGGCCUGGAGGGACCACCUCUAAACCAAGAAAUCGGUUAAGUCUCUGUGCCCACUUAAUCCGUCACUUUU
rnacentral:sRNA from 1 species